GCGGGUCACAUAACAUAUUAAUAUGUACACAUAACAAAAUCAUGCAAAAAAAAAGAGUGAAUUCCACAUUUUACCCCUUAGAUAUGCAUUUGUGUCACUAAUUACCCGUCGAAUGAAAAUUCAUCUAGAAUACUCGUUUUAAAAGGUUUGAACUCUCGUGUUCGGAAGCAUGUCUAUUAGGCAAGGUUUGAGGUGACAUUAGAAGUACAAAAAAAUAUAGACGACAACGAGGAAUGGAACGGAUGGAUAAGAGAAGUAUGUGCAUGAUCUUCGAUGAUGCUCUUCGAUCUUUACAUAUUGGUUAACAAAUCAUUGGUGCGACAUGCCGAUCAUAUCUAACAUAGACAAGAAAAAUGCAAAACUAAGGCAGAACCGUGUUAACGGUCUUCAAAAUCAAAAUAUUUCAAUAAAAGUUUCACUAAAUGGGGUAAUAUGUGUUACGGAUGUACAACUACACGAUAAAAAAUAAAAUUCACUCAAAAAAUUAUGAUCAUUGUGGAGCGAGGCAAACAGGUUUGGCUAGGGGCAUUUGGAGCCGUCAUUUUCCACACCUGCGGAAGGAAGGGGUGUACCACCA
rnacentral:lncRNA from 1 species